CAUGAAGUGGGUGGGCCAUGAAGUCACGUGACCCUGACGCGCUCGUGAACCGCACUCAGGGAAGUUGUUUUCCGUUACUUCUACUUUUAAAAUGUGAAGUUUUACUUAGAAUAACGCUAUUCGAUCUGUUCAGCCAAAAGGUGGUCUACAUCCAUAAAGACCUUGUGGACGCAGAGUACAAAGAUGUCCAAGCUGGCUUCCCGUAACUCUCAGCUGCUGCUGUCGGAUCAGAAGUGUGCUAGAUGUCUGUUAGAGACGUAUGUCAAGCGGAGCCUCAGCCUCAAUGAAGGGUGCCGGAAACAUCAGCUGAAUAAGCUCAAAUGGCUUAAACCAGAAAGACAGUCCAGACGGGCGUCCAGUGACACCUCCACCCACCGUCUGAGAGUAGAGAGGUUCCUGAAGACCGGUGAGUGUCCUGAAUGCACAUCACAAGAGCUGGUCACUAGGAGUAAGAGCACCAAAGCACCGAGCAGAACCAAAUCACUCUUCAGAGGCUUCCUCCACCUCUUCUCUAAGAAGAAGACUGAGCCCAAAGUGAAAGAGGAGCGAGUUACAGAAACAGACUCUGGACAGUAUACGACAGAGCGGGGGCUUCGCUCUUCUCAUAACGGCUCACCUGGCCACACUGAGACUGUGAGGAAGAAACACUCUCUGAGGAGGAUCUUCUUUAGCAACCAAAAUGAUGAGAAAAGAGAAACAUUACGAAAGGACUGCUCUCCUGUUCCUGGUGGCGUGGAGGGGCUUUCAGAUGUGAGCGUGGACUCUGAUAAUACAUACUUUGAGAAGGUGUCAGAAGAGCUGGAGUUGAUUGUGAAGGAGAUUCAGUUCAGUCCAAACGAAGAUGGUGUUCCGCUGCUCUCUGCUGCUUCUGCAGGAAACUGCAGCUCUUCAGGUGAAGACACUACAGAGAGGAUCAUCAGCCUGCUGAAGCAACAUGGGGAUAUUAUUGAUCAGAAAAUAAGCAGGAACAAGAGCGUCCAAGACUUCCUCCAGAAACUGUCUUACAGCUCCUUCCAGCGGCUCGCUGAUCGCUACAUAGCGCAGAUCCCCAGUCCUCUUCCCCAGACCACAGACGCCUCUCCUGAGCUGGUCAGACUGGCCUUCACCCUGGACUUUACUGCCAAAGUGGCUGGAUUGUGCAGCCAGACGGUCGGUCGAAUCAUGGGGUUUGGGAACCAGUACCUUCAGGAUUCCUUCACACAAAUGUGUGCAGCCCACAGACAGGUGCCCGAAGAUUUGGAAGAACAGAUUACAAGUGACACAGACUGACUGUGAAGUCAAAAAAAGAUUAAAAGUGAAAACAGGAGUGUGAAGAGCUUUGUGAGGGUUUGUGCCAUGGAGGGAGUCGGCGGGAAGACAGCAGAGACGUGCCCAUUCAGAUCUGAGGAGGUCAUCACGUAUCUCUCAUGGUGUUCAUGGUGAACUUGCGCAGGUGGUUGCACUCCAGAUUGGCAAUGUGAAGAGUAAGAGCAGGUAUGAGAGCGCCCACUGAGGUAAAGCCACAUCCGAAUCACUCAUGAUUUCCAGCUGCCCCACCAUAUUACCCAACAGCACUAAACCAGAGAAUACGAGACUGGUUCACUUCUGGAUCUCAUCCUCCACCAUCAGGAAUGUAGACGGGACACUACAGUACCUUCCUGAACCUCUGCUGGUGGUCCAGGGCCGUUUUGAUGGGAUUCCUCUUCCUCUGCACGAUCAGACUGAGUCAGCAUCCAGUGACCUGAGCUCACUGAAUCAUCGGACGCAUCAGAUUCCCUUCUCUGUUGAGGAUACAGCGGCAGUGCAUCUGUUGAGGUGUUCAGGUUUGUUUACUCUGAAACAGAAAAAAAAGCACCAUAGCCGUCUAUGUGUCUGUGUCGGGACAUGGUCCCAGAUCUCACCCUCCAGUCUCGAGGAAACAAGGCGUCCACCAGCCUGAUGAAGUUGGUGACGGAGCACUGGAAGGAGAGCCGCUGGAUGAUGGCAUCGCACAGGAUGGUGCAGGUAUCAAACGGACAGAUGUCCAUGUUUCCAGCAAACGGUGAGAUGGUGAGGGUGCGAGAGGAAUCCUCGAAGGGCUGGAUGUUUGUGAAACCUCCAUCCAUAUAGUGCUGGGAAUAUACAGGGGCGUUGUGUUCAUAGCUUAUUCUGGGCUGACUGUUUAAGUGUAUUUCUGUAGUUUUAGGGACUUGUACUCACCUCACCUUUAUACUGCGGUGGGAUCACUCCAGAAUAUACAGGGACAAAACAACUACACAAAAGUGCCUUAGAGAUUGUAACAAGGCCAUUUAAAGAAAAAACGAAAGAGAAAGAAAACAACAGAGUUGGACCUUUAUUACAAACAUGAUUUCAUCAUCAACAAAUAAGCCCAAGUGAUGAAUUUAAGUUAGCUCUUCCUCUUUCUUGAUAGGAAGCGCUGCAUGCGUUCAGGAUUUUCGAAGAAAACACAAUUUCAUAGCUAUUACUAGGAUGUGCAAUAUCGUCCUUCUGCUUUCCAGAGUUUCGAUGCCUUUUAAUUCAAACUGAUAAAGUUUGAGCGUUCUUCCAUAAAGGUAGGUUAUUGUGUUUAUUUUAGUAGUUUCCAUGAAAUAAUCUAAAGUGAGCACUAUUUACUUUUUACAACUCCUUUUCUAUUGGUUUAAAUAUUGCACAUCACUUUGGUAAGUUGUUAACAAAGGUUAAUGAAACAUCUGACUCUUUGCAUAUGAGCUAAUUAAACAAUAAUAAUUUGUGCAUAUGUUUUUACAAUGCAGAGACUACAGUUUAUAAACUAAGAAUAAACUACAAUAGAUUGCAACUGAUUUAUUAGUGAUUUGGUACUGUAUAUGUUACUCUGAAUGAAUGUCAUAAUGCUUACUUUAAUGAGCUCAUCGCUGGAAUUUAAUUCUGACACAAUGAGGUUUUUUCCAUCAGAGAUGCGAGUCACGGAGACGUGCAGACGGCCGCUGGCCAGAGUGUGUGCGUUAUCAGGCAGACAGCGCUGCAGUGUGACCUCCAGCCACCGGAAAAUAUCCACCGUGGGACUGAGAAGACCGAGAGGAUGCUGUUGGGUAAAUUGCACAAACUCCAAAAGCUGGUCUCGAACAUGUUCUGUGAGAGGAAAGGGCUGUUUUUAAUUACUACUGACUCAAUUGUAAGCCAUGAUUCUUUAAUCCAACUAACUACAGUAACAGCACAUUACAGUUUUUUUAUUUUAAUUGCUUACAAAACUUAGCCUCUUUUUUCAAAAACUUUCAGUCAAAUGCUGAGAUUUAGUUUAUGGUUUGGCAGGUUUGGUGUGUGGUUCUGGUGUUUUUUGAGUGACAGUUUUCAGAAAUGUGUGACAAGGAAAGAUUUUGUGUGUAAGCAGUUGAAAAAAAAAAAAAACUGUAAACCAGGCA